GUCUGCUACAGGCUGGGCAGGCGACCUUGGCUCGGACCCCGGAAGCUGUCUUCGGUUUUUAAAAUUUUAGGUUUUUAGCAGAAGGACAAGGGGAAGACUGAAGCUCAGAGUGGCAGCAUCUUUGUCACCUGUGGAGCUUAGAGUAAUGUUGCAGAGUUAUCUGCUCGAAUCCACAGCAUGGUCCCUCCAUUCCAGCGCUAAAGGGAUUGAGGCCCACUUUCAGGAGAAUGGCCCAGUGUCCCUGGAGUCUGCAGUCCGCAAUGCAGGCCGAGUGGCCAUUUUCUCCAGCUGUCUCUGGGCAGCCCUGUGCCCUGGCGAUGGAGGUGUUUCCUGCUGGAGCUCAUUUGUGGUCACAGCGUGGUAUAGCCUGUUAUCUUUGGACCAAGCCACUGGCCUUGACAGACUUUUUCCCCAAGGGACCCUCAGCCUCAUACAGAUUCAGCUGGCUUGUCUGAAUUUGGGACAGCACAGGCUAGCUGGGGGCCUUCAGUCACACAGGGGGAAGGCAUCACUUUUAGUCAGCCCCCAACUACUGUGAGCUCAGCCCUGAAAUACAGGAAGGAGGCAUCUGGGGAAAGAGUAAAGGAGAAAAGAAAGGAUAAAAGAAGUCAGUGG